rnacentral:rRNA from 1 species
CAGCCGCCACGGUAAUACGGAGGGUGCAAGCGUUAAUCGGAAUUACUGGGCGUAAAGCGCACGCAGGCGGUCUGACAAGUCAGAUGUGAAAUCCCCGGGCUUAACCUGGGAACUGCAUUUGAAACUGUCAGGCUGGAGUCUUGUAGAGGGGGGUAGAAUUCCAGGUGUAGCGGUGAAAUGCGUAGAGAUCUGGAGGAAUACCGGUGGCGAAGGCGGCCCCCUGGACAAAGACUGACGCUCAGGUGCGAAAGCGUGGGGAGCAAACAGGAUUAGAUACCCGAGUAGUCCCUGUCUCUUAUAC